rnacentral:rRNA from 1 species
UACGUAGGGGGCAAGCGUUGUCCGGAUUUACUGGGCGUAAAGCGCGUGUAGGCGGCCACGCAGGUCCGUUGUGAAAACUGGAGGCUCAACCUCCAGACGUCGACGGAAACCGUGCGGCUAGAGUCCGGAAGAGGAGAGUGGAAUUCCUGGUGUAGCGGUGAAAUGCGCAGAUAUCAGGAGGAACACCAGUGGCGAAGGCGACUACCUGGCCUGUUCUUGACGCUGAGGCGCGAAAGCUAGGGGAGCAAACGGG